UACAGAUGGGAAAAUUGAGGCUCAGACAGAGGAAUGGUUUGCCUUGCCCAGGAUCCUCCACCUAGUGAGUGGAGAGCAGGUUUUCAUUUGUCAUAUGAAAGGGUCCCCCAUUUAACACUUGCUGGUUCAGUCCACCCAAGGGACUCCCAGCCUGGCCAGAAGCUCCCCUCACAGCCUGCUUUCCCCUCAAGCUGUUCCCUUAAAGUGACUGGCAACAAUGGAUCCUUUCUAUUCACGAAUUCCCGGGCCUGUAUUGGGGCUGUGGUGGGCUCCUAGGUGCUUCUCUGCGCUUUCCAAAUGGUGACAAUGAUGUGAACCCCUGCGGCAUAAGAAAGCCUCCUUUGGAGACAGCGCACUAUUCAGAGCAGCCCAUGAUCCCUCCACGGUUCCCUGCCAGGAAGGAAGCCUCAGGCUGCCCUCUAGUGGCAGGCAGGGUUGUGCAGACCCAGUGAAACUGGCAAACAAGGGAACCAGAGAAGCAAGCUUCACUUAGCACGUGGUGGAGGCUCUCUGGAAGUCGGAGGGAGAAAAUACAUUCUGGUUCUCUCUCUGCUGU
ensembl:lncRNA